UGUUGUUAAAGUAAGAACAUAUCUGAGAGUAACUGUUCAGGUAUUGACGGUAUUUAACCAGAAAGCCACGGCUAACUACGUGCCAGCAGCCGCGGUAAUACGUAGGUGGGCAAGCGUUGUCCGGAGUUUAUUGGGCGUAAAGCGAGCGCAGGCGGUUUUUAAGUUCUGAUGUGAAAGCCUUCGGCUCAACCGAAGAAGUGCAUCGGAAACUGGGAAACUUGAGUGCAGAAGAGGACAGUGGAACUCCAUGUGUAGCGGUGAAAUGCGUAGAUAUAUGGAAGAACACCAGUGGCGAAGGCGGCUGUCUGGUCUGUAACUGACGCUGAGGCUCGAAAGUAUGGGUAGCAAACAGGAUUAGAUACCCUGGUAG
rnacentral:rRNA from 1 species